rnacentral:rRNA from 1 species
CAGUCGCCACGGGAAUACGAAGGGGGCUAGCGUUGCUCGGAAUGACUGGGCGUAAAGGGCGCGUAGGCGGCACAUACAGUCAGAUGUGAAAUUCCUGGGCUUAACCUGGGGGCUGCAUUUGAUACGUAUGAGCUAGAGUGGGGAAGAGGGUUGUGGAAUUCCCAGUGUAGAGGUGAAAUUCGUAGAUAUUGGGAAGAACACCGGUGGCGAAGGCGGCAACCUGGUCCUUGACUGACGCUGAGGCGCGAAAGCGUGGGGAGCAAACAGGAUUAGAUACCCCCGUUAGUCCCUGUCUCUUAUA